GAAAAGGGAACUGAGGAGACGCAGGUCAGAAUGGAAAUGGGCUGCAGACCGGGCAGCUAUUGUCAGCCGCUGGAACUGGCUUCAGGCUCAUGUUUCUGACUUGGAAUAUCGAAUUCGUCAGCAAACAGACAUUUACAAACAGAUACGUGCUAAUAAGGGGUUGAUAGUUCUUGGGGAGGUACCUCCCCCAGAGCAUACAACAGACUUAUUUCUUCCGCUUAGUUCUGAGGUGAAGACAGAUCAUGGGACUGAUAAAUUGAUUGAGUCUGUUUCUCAGCCAUUGGAAAACCAUGGUGCCCCUAUUAUUGGUCAUAUUUCAGAGUCACUGUCUACCAAAUCAUGUGGAGCACUCAGACCUGUCAAUGGAGUUAUUAAUACUCUUCAGCCUGUCUUGGCAGACCACAUUCCAGGUGACAGCUCUGAUGCUGAGGAACAAUUACAUAAGAAGCAACGACUGAAUCUCGUCUCUUCAUCAUCUGAUGGCACCUGUGUGGCAGCCCGGACACGUCCUGUACUGAGCUGUAAGAAGCGGAGGCUUGUUCGACCCAACAGCAUCGUUCCUCUUUCCAAGAAGGUUCACCGGAACAGCACAAUCCGCCCUGGCUGUGAUGUGAAUCCCUCCUGCGCAC
rnacentral:sRNA from 1 species